rnacentral:snRNA from 1 species
ACUCAUACCUUGUAGGGGAAAUACGUACCAUGUUGUUAAAAUAGUUUUCCCAGGGAGAGGCUCGUCCAUUGCAGUUUGGGUGUGCUGUUGACCCCUGUGAUUUCCCCAAAUGUGGGGAACUCAACUGCAUAAUUAGUGUUAAUGGGGGCAUUAUGUUUAUGAUUUCUCUG